GUCUCCCGUUUUUACUUAGUGUAGCUCAGUCACAGCCUCCCAAACGGAAUCACUUGCUCUAGAACGGAAGGCUUUCCUCCUCUGUUAGGUGUGCACACAUGCUUCUAUGGGAGGGAAUGCCGGUCUACUCAGGGCCAGGCCAGUCCUGAAGACAUACCUUCCAAUCUUUUAAAUUAAUGUCGUCAUUAAUUUCCUGGGAUACCUCAACAGGCUGCCAUCCUAGAGUUUGUUCUGUUCGUUUGUAGUUUACAAUGUAGCCUUCUGUUUGGGAACUGCUGGAAAACAGAGAGGCAUCAUUUUUUACCUAAAGAAUAAGGUACAUUUAUUUGUUUUUACUUACUUGAAUGAAUGGUCACCUUUAUAAUUUGCUACCUAGCCACUUCCUGUAUGGCUUUCUCUUCACCUUCCUGCGAGGCUAAACACCAUCAACCAACUUCAUUCUUUCCACAGCAUUAAUCCAGGAAGCUGGAAUUUUAAGUGUUUGAUGUCUACUGUUCUACACUACUCAUAACUUGACAUUUUCUAUUUCAACCAAGUCUAAAUUAGAUGAAUACAAGAAUAAUUCUUACCACUGUUCCGCUUUCCCUUUUUCUCUUCUUCUACCUUUAGUUACUCAAAGUCAACAUUUUCAUUUCAGCAUGACUCUGCAGCCAUACUGACUAGACAGAUGAUUUAAACUGGAAACUCUGUUGAGUUUUCCCCCAAACCCAAGGUGUCUAUACUAUUCCCUAGUUCAUAUGUUCCCUAGUUCAGAAAAGUCACAAAGAACCUUCCACCACUUUUGGAAUUUAUACUUUAGAUGUGUAUGAGGCCUAGAUCAUGAGUAGAGCACUGGAUGAAUAAAAUAAUAAUAGCUAAUGUGUACUACACUUAGUGAUGUGAUGUGUGUUGUGUAUGGCCAUCUAACCUUCACAACAACCCGAGGAAGUAGGUAUUAUCCAUGUUUUGCAGAUGAGGAGACUGAGGUACAAAGAAGUCAAGUACUUUAAGACCACAGUAGGUGGUAGAGCUGGAUUUUUGCAGUCAGGAUCCACUAUGUUCUUACCAACUAUGUGCUUUUGAGAAACCGUGGUCCCAGAAUAUGUUCUGACAAACAGAAAUUCUGGGUCAAACAAGUCUGGGAGAUACUGGGUACUCUACUGUCCUCUUAGAUUCCUCAUUCCGGAACGUUAUCAUUAUAAAGGCUCCGAAACUCCUGCAGAGUUUCACUCUUUUAACCCAGCAUUUUCUGAACUCCCUUGAAUACAGACUUUUUUCCAUUAUCACAUAUUGAAAAACUCUGGAAUAAAAUAAGUGUUCCAACCCAUUUCUGAAUAAUUCUAAAAAUUGUGUCUAAAUCAGUACUGGCAGGUUCAUUUCCUUCACACCAGUUUUGAAUUGAAGCAACUUGAAAGGAGUUAGAAACCAGCUACCAUCCCAGUAGCCCAAGAGAAAGAUAAUCAAGAGGCGCUAUUGUCAGAUUGGUAGUUUCAUCCAGUUAAGUCCUCCCUCUGAGUUCAGAUUGAGAGCUGCAGUCAGCUAGCUCUACUGACUGGAGAAAAAGUGAAUAUUCCUACACCUGCGGCCAUUAUAGACAUAGAGCAGGAGCUCCAAACUAGAGCCACUGAGUGAAAUUGCUGCUGGUUACCUAAGUUAGCUGUCACCAUAUUUUGCUGAGGAUAUAGGUUCAGCUUUCCCACAAGCCAGUGAGCAUCUCUCAUGUUUACAGACAACCUUCCCGGUACAGACACUGAUGCACCUUAAGUUAAGUAGAUUCAGAUCAGAGUGUGGGGAGAGUAGCAAAAGUCCAUUUACAUCACUUCCAGGAAGACGGCCUAAGCCAUACAUUCUGAGAGACACCCCUCUUCCUGACAUAGACAUACACACUUUUGUUCAUAUACUUAGUUUAUUGAAUACCUAUUGCUCACUUAACAACUCCUCAGACCUGAGACCCCUGACCUAUUCAUAAGAGGCUACUUUCAUUUCCCCAAAGCCCAGGAGGCCCAGGAGGUAAGACAGGGGAGGUAUCAGUAAAAGCUUCUGGAAUGGGUAAGUGCAGUAAAUGAGUAUAGCAAGAGAGGGGAAGCCCCUUUCCACCUCUCAAAUGAUCAGUUCUUUGAAGACCUAACAGGCAAGAUCACAAGAGCUGUCUCCCUGGUAACCGUAAAUGAAGCCUUUCUUCUAUUAAAUAAUUCUUUUUUUUUUAAAUUGCAUUUUAGGUUUUGGUAAAUAAUUCUUUUAAUGCCUUUUCAUCUCUAUAUUUAAAAAGAAAAACAUUCACUAAAUUUAUGGAGAUCUUAUGUGCCAGGGUCUCUACAGUCUUCAUGGUAAAGGGAAUUUAACUGAUAUACACCAUCUUGACUACUUCAAGGAGGCAGAAGAGUACAGUGGUUUAAAGGGCAGGCUCCAGUGAUAGUUUCUUGGGUUCAGAUUUCUGUCACUUUCUGGCUUUGUGAUCCUGACAGAGCUACACACUGACUCUCUGAGUUUCUUAUCCUAUCAGGUCUUUAUUUCUGUCAGGGAAUUUAUAAUAAAAAUACUGGGCUUCACUCUCUCUGAAAAGCUAGGGAAGAACCCAAGAAGAAUCUGCUUCUAGUUAUGCCUCCUAGUGUUUCUGUAGGCACAUUUUAAAUAGUAUUAUACUUUGCCCCCAGUAAUUAUAGGAGGAAAGGACAAGAAAAUACACUUUUGGUGAAUAAAAUGCUAAAUGACUAUCAAAUUUCAGUUAAACAUUCACGAUUAAAGUCUAUUAACACCCUCAAGUGGAAUUUUGUGUUUCCAAAUUACAGAAGUAGAGGGUGCAGCUGUUUCCAUCUUAGCCAUUCUGCACUCAUCAAUAGGUCUAUUCACUUAAGUAAUGUGGAAUUUCUACAAGAGGCUGAAGAAAACAAAACUACUCAUCCCUGUCCUGGACUUUUGUGCCUAUGGAUCAUAGGUCCUUCCUAACAUUGACCAAAGAAGAACUUCAUUUGUAACAACUCUGGAGGCUUUCCAGGAUAAUUUCAAGCAUGAAAAAUAAGGAGAAGUUCACAGUCUUCACAAGGCAAGAAGCCAGAAUGGUUGCUGAGGAGAAAUGGACAGUGUUUUGGCCAACUAAAAAUGAAAACAAAAGAUGAGAAAGAAAAGGAGAAGCAUAUUCUAAAAAUCACCACUGGAGAUACAUUUUGAAAAUGGUUACUCGCACAAUUUAGUAUUGAUAUAAACCUGCACCGCCACAAAAAUGAAUUCCCAAGAGGUGCUUGGUCAAGUUCUUCUGAGCUCAAUGAAAGCAGUCUCCUACAAAGAAAGGAAGAAGAUAAAUACAACAAAAAUGGGAUUAACAAGCAUUUUAUGUAUUCUGUGUACAGCCAGAAAAAUUCAUUUUAAAAGAUUUGAAAAUCAACAACAGAAAAAGAAUCUCAAAGGUAAAAAUGAGUUUGUGCGCCCUUUCCCAUUUUAGUGCUAGUCCAGAAAAAAAGAACAGUGUUUCUCUUUGUCGUUUGGUGCUUGCAGGUCACAUAAUAAUGACUUUUCACAUGUUGAUCCGUCUUGCUUAGCAAACAGUAACUGCUUCAUAAAACCAGGGACACCAGGAAAAUUAACUUCCCAUAAUUGAAGGGGCUAUUUCCUGUUAAUGUGAAAAUUUUUGUGAUCAAGAAUCCUACAAUUUGUGGUUUCUCUUUAGAUUUGUUAAAUCCAUAUGAGUCCUUUUAAGUGCAAAGGCAGUAUCUUUACUGUCCACGUAAAUAGCAAGCUAUCUACCAUAAGCCAAAGAAAUCAGUCCAGAAAUGGAUGUGUCACUGUGACCUGAAGAGACAAAUAGUUCUGGCAGCUGGCUUAUUGGAGAUAACAAGCGUUUUGUAUGUUUCUUUCAGACCACUUUGUCUUAUAAUUCUAAGUUAAUUAAGAUCAUUAAACAAUAGACUAUUACAAGGUCAAUCUGGCUACUUAACCAGUCGCAACAAUUAAAUCUAAUCAAUGCCGCACUUCAGAAACUACACACUCCAGUGGUUGUAGGGAAAAACUGGAUUCAAUGAGAGCUUAAAUCAUGCCACCUAGAGGAAAGCUGUGGUAUGUCUUACAACUUCAUACUGUUACAUUCAUUAAUUUAUAAUUUUGCAUUGAUUUGUUGUUACUGCACAUCAAAUAAAAAUGUUUCAGAUAAAUGUUGUAAAACAUGCAUUUUUAAAAAGAUGCUAGAUCAACAGCAAUGGGAUAUCUUUAAUUACAAAGUUGUGGUUACUGGUUAUCUCCUAGGCAGUAACAUGGGAAGCUAAAAAUCUCAUCCUCAUUUUUAUAAAGCAUAACUUGAAUACCAAAAUUCUUAAUAGCAAAAAUGUCAAUCACUUACACUUUUAUGACUCAUCUAAUGUCAUUAAGUAAUAAACAGCAGCCAAUAUCCAAUAUAUUGUAUUUUUGAAUUAAAAAAAAUGGUUAUAUGUAGUAAAUCAUUGGAUACCACUUCCGUAGUUAAAGUAGUUCCAUUUCUGCAGCAUCCAGAUAAUUCAAAUGUAAAGUUUUCAUUAUCAGACAUUCUUGGGUAAGACCUGUAGUGAAUUAUCCUAUAGCACACUGCAGAAUACACUGACAGUACCAGCCUGGGGUGACAUGUUAACUCUAAAUUGACACAGCUAGGAAAAUUUUCACCUUCUGAUAAAGGGCACCUACUAAUUUUUUCAAAGUACAAAUUCCAUUUUACUUUUCUCCAGAGGAUAGUUUUUCUUCCUUUAAUGAGCGUUGGUGCCAGCAUCUGCAGGUCUAAAUAGGAGUGGGGAUGUUCAGUCCUUGCAGGCUUCCUGCUGUGAAUGGCACAGCUCACACAAUAAUGUAACUUCACAUAUAGUUCCGGAAGCACAUAGGCAUUGAAGACACUUGCUGCAGCCUGUACUGUGUUUUGAAUAACUUCCUGGUUGGGAGCAGUGGCUCAUGCCUAUAAUCCCACCACUUUGGGAGGCCGACGUGGGCAGAUCGAGACCAUCCUGGCCAACAUGAUGAAAACCCAUCUCUACUAAAAUACAAAAAAUUAGCCGGGGUGGUGGCCCAUGGCUGUAGUCCCAACUACUCAGGAUGCUGAGGCAAAGGAAUCGCUUGAACCCAGGAGGCAGAGGUUGCAGUGAGCCAAGAUCAUGCCACUGCACUGUGGCUUGGCAGCAGAGCAAGACUCUUCUCAAAAAAAAAGAACUUAAUAGCCCUGUCCUUGGGCACACAUGUGGCCACCACCCUUUUUGUCAUGAUCAUUGUUCUUUUUCUUUGUCAUCUUGGAAGUGAGGACCCGAAAGAGCAUGGCAUCUACUACUACCUUCCAUUGGCCGUAGUUUUAUGUCAGAGUUAAAUGAGACCAAAAUACUGAAUACCCAUUUAUUUUGCCAGAAGAGUUGACUAUCUAGAAUUUCAUUUUCUAUAAGACAUUAUCAUCUCAAAUGUGAGGAAUCACCGUGGUGUACAGCAGCUCUGUGACUCGUCUGAGACGUGAGGGAUCACCGUGGUGUACAGCAGCUCUGUGACUCGUCUCAGACGUGAGGGAUCACCGUGGUGUACAGCAGCUCUGUGACUCGUCUCAGACGUGAGGGAUCACCGUUGUGUACAGCAGCUCUGUGACUCGUCUCAGACGUGAGGGAU